AUGCAUGCAAGUUAUUACAAACAGCAAAAAAUCAGAACAGUUGUAAACAGAAACCCUAAAUUGCCAACUUUGAAAUCACAGUAAAUCACAAAGUAAUACAGGAUUUCAGCAAUCAAAAAAUAUCAACAGAGAGAGCAGGCUUAAUCAAUCAACAGAAAACCAAUUAAUAAGAUCAGAUUAUAAGGUUUCACAGAUCUCUCCAGCAAGAUUCUCCCAAGUUACACACCCGUACUUGAUUUAUCUCAGAUUCCAGUGGCCUUGCAGGAGCCACUGGACAAAGAUUAGUUUCAAGAGGGUUUCAACGGUGUACUGAAAAAUCAGGGAAAGUUCAAGAAACUCAAAUUUCUCAAGUGUAAUAUACAGUUAAUUGAAAAGAUCUCACCCAGCGAGUACAAUGACUCGAGGUAGUUUAAAUCUGCUUUUCAACAGUUCCAAAAAUUCAAGAUCUACUGAAGAUCCACCUUUCUCUCCAAGAUUCGGGUAUCUUGCCCCUCGGUAAGGCUCUGAUACCACUGUAAGGCAAAGGUCACACAAUAUUAAACCGAGAAGCAAGAAAUUGAAAUCAACCAAAAGUAAACUGUUCAAAAAAUUAAAGAAUCAACACAAAAUUUCUUUCAACCUAAGCCCCGGAGGUUCGGUGACCACAUCCAAUG
rnacentral:lncRNA from 1 species